rnacentral:rRNA from 1 species
AUACGUAGGGGACGAGCGUUGUCCGGAAUUACUGGGCGUAAAGGGCGCGCAGGCUGUGCUGCAAGUCAGCUGUGAAAUAUCUGGGCUUAACCCGGAUAUGCGGUUGAGACUGCAGUGCUGGAGUGCUGUAGAGGCAAGUGGAAUUCCCAGUGUAGCGGUGAAAUGCGUAGGUAUUGGGAAGAACACCGGUGGCGAAGGCGACUUGCUGGGCAGCAACUGACGCUGAGGCGCGAAAGCCAGGGGAGCAAACGGGAUUAGAUACCCCGGUAGUCCUGGCCGUAAACGGUGAAUGCUAGGUGUGGGUGUAGAGAUACAUCCGUGCCGGAGUUAACGCGAUAAGUAUUCCGCCUGGGGAGUACGGCCGCAAGGUUGAAACUCAAAUGAAUUGACGGG